AAAACUUUAAGUUAAAUUAAACUAAUAGCCUUCAAAGUUAUAAAUAUGAGAAAAUCUUUUAAGUUUUA
rnacentral:tRNA from 1 species